CUUUUAUCUUGGUGAGUUGGAAUGUGGUUAAAGUUAUGAAUUUGGUUUCAAAGAGAUAAGAAGAACAGAAUAGGACAAGGUGGAUGAGAUUAUCAUAUAUACCUGAGGCUUAUUAGUUAUUCACAAGAAGGUAGAAAUGUUAUGGAAUCUGGAUGCUAAGUCAAGGAAUGAUAUUCUUUGUAUGAAAUAUAUCAUCUUGGUUCGAGUUGUCAUGUUCUUUUUCUUUUUCUCUUGGACCUCUGAUCUUAUAGUCUCUGUAAUAUUUAAAAGAGCUGAUAUUUCUACGAGUUUAGUAUUUGUCCUAUCAGUUUUCCUAGGAGUGGUAGAAUUGAGAUUAUACAAUAAUUUGUUUGUUUCUCUCUUGAUUCUGAAGAAGUUUUGUUUCUAUAUAUCUGAACCAUUUUGUUUACUGACAAAUGUAUAAGUGAAAUUUAGGAAAGAGAUGUUUUGGUAUAUUAGGAAGGAUUUUCUGUAGUCAUAUCUUUCACUGUGUUUACUAUUACGUUUGAUUGUGCUGGUGGUAAUUUACCACUGGAAAACAUAUUUGGCAAUUUGCAAGGUUUACUUUCAGUAUCACAACAUAUUCACUUUUGGUUUGCAAACAGUUAUCUAUAUUGUAAGUUUGGGCUGAUUAUGUAGGUAUGUUCAAGAUUAUUUGUUGAGUUCUUUUGUUUGUUUUUUUGGCUGAUGGUAGAUAGAUCUAUUCAGAUAAAUGGUUUGUUUCUCUUUGUUUUGCAGAUAUCAGGAACAGUGUGCGAUCCAAAAUUUGAAAGUGCUUUCAACUUGGAGAUGGAAGAUAAAAGAGGAAUAGAGGAAAGGGGAAGAUCUCGGCGAUAAUAGACCGGCUGGAAGUUAUUUGUGAGAAUUGGAUUUGUGGUUUUGUUCUUGAUUGUUUCGAAUCGUUUUGUGUUUUUUUUUUUUUUUUGGGUUUUUUCUUCUCAAAAUCGGUGAUCAAAAUCAACUGCAGUGAACAGUGGGUAAGAGUUUAGCUUUCUAGAAUCAAGAUCAACAUCAUACUUCUUCACUUUCUGUUCACAUAUCCAAAGUUAUUGCGUUUGAUUUUGACCAUAUGUUAUCUUUCUGAAAAUGAUUGAUCUGAAAUUCGUUUUUUGUUGUUCGCAGUCUCUUUCAAAGUGCAAACACUGAGGUCAAAAGAGGGGACGACGAAUCAAUUGGAUAAUUCUGUCGGGGGUAUUGUUCGUGCUUCAGUUUGGGAUUUGAGUGAUUGAGUGGAGGAGGUUCAAGGUUGGUUUGAUGGGCGAGGCACGGUCACUCCAAAGGGAUCUUAAUUGAAUUACUGACACUGCAAAUACUUACUCCAAAGGGUUUGAGCUAUAUUUUGACAGGCACACAGAUAGAGAGAGACUGUGAAAGGAGAGGUAUUGUUGGAGUUUGGGUAGAUUAGAGAGAAGAAGAGGGAUCUGAGUUUGGGUUGCUCGGUGGAAUUUGAAGUUUAGUGAUCCUGUUGAAAGGGGGUGUGCAAGGAGAAGAGAUUGCUCAGAAGUCAUUGGUAGAAGACUCAUCGAAGCGGCCAAAAUAAGAGCUGAAUGUUACACUGGAGGAGUAAACCAUGACUUAAGUGUGGCAAUAGCCCUUAUCCGAUGACAAAUUUUGCAUCACCUGAAGCUUUAAAACAACGGAUUAUUAUCUCAACCGAGCCACCAAAA